rnacentral:tRNA from 1 species
GAGGGUAACAGCUCAGUGGCAAAGCUAUGUGCUUAGCAUGCAUGAGGUCCUGGGUUCAAUCCCCAGUACCUCCA